rnacentral:rRNA from 1 species
GAUGAACGCUGGCGGCGUGCUUAACACAUGCAAGUCGAACGAACCUUCGGGUUAGUGGCGGACGGGUGAGUAACGCGUGAGAAUCUGCCCUCAGGACGGGGGACAACAGCUGGAAACGGCUGCUAAUACCCCAUAUGCCGAGAGGUGAAAUGAAUUUCGCCUGAGGAUGAGCUCGCGUCUGAUUAGCUAGUUGGUGAGGUAAGAGCUCACCAAGGCAUCGAUCAGUAGCUGGUCUGAGAGGAUGAUCAGCCACACUGGGACUGAGACACGGCCCAGACUCCUACGGGAGGCAGCAGUGGGGAAUUUUCCGCAAUGGGCGAAAGCCUGACGGAGCAACGCCGCGUGAGGGAUGAAGGCCUCUGGGCUGUAAACCUCUUUUAUCAAGGAAGAAGAUCUGACGGUACUUGAUGAAUAAGCCACGGCUAAUUCCGUG